AACGAACGCUGGCGGCAUGCCUAACACAUGCAAGUCGAACGAGACCUUCGGGUCUAGUGGCGCACGGGUGCGUAACGCGUGGGAACCUGCCCUUAGGUUCGGAAUAACUCCCCGAAAGGGGUGCUAAUACCGGAUAAUGUCUUCGGACCAAAGAUUUAUCGCCUUUGGAUGGGCCCGCGUUGGAUUAGCUAGUUGGUAGGGUAAAAGCCUACCAAGGCGAUGAUCCAUAGCUGGUCUGAGAGGAUGAUCAGCCACACUGGGACUGAGACACGGCCCAGACUCCUACGGGAGGCAGCAGUGGGGAAUAUUGGACAAUGGGCGAAAGCCUGAACCAGCAAUGCCGCGUGAGUGAUGAAGGCCUUAGGGUUGUAAAGCUCUUUUACCCGGGAUGAUAAUGACAGUACCGGGAGAAUAAGCUCCGGCUAACUCCGUG
rnacentral:rRNA from 1 species